GACGAACGCUGGCGGCGUGCUUAACACAUGCAAGUCGAACGGAAAGGCCCUGCUUUUGUGGGGUGCUCGAGUGGCGAACGGGGGAGUAACACGUGAGUAACCUGCCCUUGACUGUGGGAUAACUUCAGGAAACUGGGGCUAAUACCGGAUAGGAUCUCCUGCUGCAUGGUGGGGGUUGGAAAGUUUCGGCGGUUGGGGAUGGACUCGCGGCUUAUCAGCUUGUUGGUGGGGUAGUGGCUUACCAAGGCUUUGACGGGUAGCCGGCCUGAGAGGGUGACCGGCCACAUUGGGACUGAGAUACGGCCCAGACUCCUACGGGAGGCAGCAGUGGGGAAUAUUGCACAAUGGGCGGAAGCCUGAUGCAGCAACGCCGCGUGCGGGAUGACGGCCUUCGGGUUGUAAACCGCUUUCGCCUGUGACGAAGCGUGAGUGACGGUAAUGGGUAAAGAAGCACCGGCUAACUACGUG
rnacentral:rRNA from 1 species